UCCAGAAAUAAAGCAUAAUUUACUGUAUUAGUGGAUAUUUCACCAUUCACUUGUUUUCAGAGAGAAUGCAAUUCAGUAGAACUAUUUCCCCUUCCACGAGAAGUUGUGAAUUUGUAACAUGAUCGAUCCAAAUUUUUUAAUUUGUUUUGUUUUUCUCUUUUCUUUUUAAAGUUCUGUAGAAAGCUUUGAGUAGAAGCCUGUUAAAGGCGAAAAGCUGAGAAAACUGCCAAGACGGUUGGGCAUUAACCGGCAAAGCAUAACUAAAGCGUGUGCUUUAGUAAAAACGACGCAUAUGAUCAAAAGGAAUUGGUCAAACUUCAAUUGAAUG
rnacentral:lncRNA from 1 species